rnacentral:precursor_RNA from 1 species
AAAACUGAAAAUUAAAUCGACGGGGAUUUCCUCAUAAUGUUUACUAAUCAAUACUUAGUUACAUUAAGGGGGUUGUUGUGGAGAUAGUUUAUUUGUCAAU